rfam:Loxodonta africana unplaced genomic scaffold scaffold_26, whole genome shotgun sequence.
GCAGUGGUGGUUCAGUGGUAAAAUUCUCGCCUUUCAUGAAGGAGACCCAGGUUUGAUUCCCGGCCAGUGCA